rnacentral:rRNA from 1 species
UCGCGGCCUAUCAGCUUGUUGGUGGGGUAACGGCCUACCAAGGCUUCGACGGGUAGCUGGUCUGAGAGGACGAUCAGCUGGAUUGGGACUGAGAUACGGCCCAGACUCCUACAGGGGGCAGCAAUUAGGAAUCUUGCACAAUGGCCGAAAGGCUGACGCAGCGACGCCGCGUGAGGGAUGACGGCCUUCGGAUUGCAAACCUCUGUUGCCCGGGACGAAUGCCUCUCUUUGGAGAGGGUGACGGUACCGGGUGAGGAAGCACCGGCUAACUCUGUGCCAGCAGCCGCGGUAAUACAGAGGGUGCGAGCGUUGUCCGGAAUCACUGGGCGUAAAGGGCGCGUAGGCGGUUGCUUAAGCGUGUGGUGAAAGCCCGGGGCUCAACCCCGGGUCGGCCAUGCGAACUGGGCGACUGGAGCCGAUCAGAGGCAGGCGGAAUUCCGGGUGUAGCGGUGGAAUGCGUAGAGAUCCGGAAGAACACCGGUGGCGAAGGCGGCCUGCUGGGAUCGAGCUGACGCUGAGGCGCGACAGCGUGGGGAGCAAACAGGAUUAGAUACCCUGGUAGUCCACGCCGUAAACGAUGGGCACUAGAUGCUUGGGGGAGCGACCCCCUGAGUGUCGGCGCUAACGCAUUAAGUGCCCCGCCUGGGGAGUACGG